GGUUUGGGUUGAAACUCAGGCUGUCGUUGCGAGGCAGGCAAGGGUGUAGGAGGUGUUCCCUGGGUAUUUGGCACAGCACGAAAUGACCCACUACUUCUGGGUCUUGGCACUGAAGCAAUAGGACCCAAAGGUUUCCCACCAUUGGCAGGAACAGCAGCAAGGUUGCUGGAUUGUUCAACUAACUUGCGGCGUGCGAUAUUCGCCUGGUUCUGAAUAGUAUGGAUGAUGUGAGGCCUAGUUGAACUUGGUAGGUUGUCAGAGGAAUACCCUGUCUGAUUAUCCAAUGAGCCACUUUCAAGUUGUCUGGAGAACAGAGUGAAAUAACGCAGAAGUGUCCCUUUAAGUGGUCCGAUGAAGGAGUCUAUGGUUUUUAAUGGUAUCAGACUGCCAUGACAGAUGCAGUGUGCAAAUUUUCUAUGUAAACAGCAUGUUCCACCAGCAGCAGGGAUGAGUACUUCGUCAAAUUGCAAUUCGGAGAGCAAACGAAGCUUCCCAAUUUCAAAU
rnacentral:misc_RNA from 1 species